rnacentral:rRNA from 1 species
CGCGUUAAGUCGACCGCCUGGGGAGUACGGCCGCAAGGUUAAAACUCAAAUGAAUUGACGGCCCGCACAAGCGGUGGAGCAUGUGGUUUAAUUCGAUGCAACGCGAAGAACCUUACCUACUCUUGACAUCCAGAGAACUUACCAGAGAUGGUUUGGUGCCUUCGGGAACUCUGAGACAGGUGCUGCAUGGCUGUCGUCAGCUCGUGUUGUGAAAUGUUGGGUUAAGUCCCGCAACGAGCGCAACCCUUAUCCUUUGUUGCCAGCGGUUCGGCCGGGAACUCAAAGGAUGACUGCCAGUGAUAAACUGGAGGAAGGUGGGGAUGACGUCAAGUCAUCAUGGCCCUUACGAGUAGGGCUACACACGUGCUACAAUGGCGCAUACAAAGAGAAGCGACCUCGCGAGAGCAAGCGGACCUCAUAAAGUGGUAGUCCGGAUUGGAGUCUGCAACUCGACUCCAUGAAGUCGGAAUCGCUAGUAAUCGUAGAUCAGAAUGCUACGGUGAAUACGUUCCCGGGCCUUGUACACACCGCCCGUCACACCAUGGGAGUGGGUUGCAAAAGAAGUAGGUAGCUUAACCUUCGGGAGGGCGCUUACCACUUUGUGAUUCAUGACU